rnacentral:rRNA from 1 species
GACGAACCGUGCGAACGUUGUUCGGAAUCACUGGGCUUAAAGGGCGCGUAGGCGGCCUGUUAAGUCGAACGUGAAAUCCCCGGGCUCAACCCGGGAACUGCGUCCGAUACUGGCAGGCUUGAAUCCGGGAGAGGGAUGCGGAAUUCCAGGUGUAGCGGUGAAAUGCGUAGAUAUCUGGAGGAACACCGGUGGCGAAGGCGGCAUCCUGGACCGGCAUGACGCUGAGGCGCGAAAGCCAGGGGAGCAAACGGGG